rnacentral:rRNA from 1 species
AUUGAACGCUAGCGGCAGGCUUAACACAUGCAAGUCGAGCGGGGUGAUGGUGCUUGCACUAUCACUUAGCGGCGGACGGGUGAGUAAUGCUUAGGAAUCUGCCUAUUAGUGGGGGGCAACAUCUCGAAAGGGAUGCUAAUACCGCAUACGUCCUACGGGAGAAAGCAGGGGAUCACUUGUGACCUUGCGCUAUUAGAUGAGCCUAAGUCGGAUUAGCUAGUUGGUGGGGUAAAGGCCUACCAAGGCGACGAUCUGUAGCGGGUCUGAGAGGAUGAUCCGCCACACUGGGACUGAGACACGGCCCAGACUCCUACGGGAGGUAGCAGUGGGGAAUAUUGGACAAUGGGGGGAACCCUGAUCCAGCCAUGCCGCGUGUGUGAAGAAGGCCUUAUGGUUGUAAAGCACUUUAAGCGAGGAGGAGGCUCUUUUGGUUAAUACCCAAGAUGAGUGGACGUUACUCGCAGAAUAAGCACCGGCUAACUCUGUACCAGCCGCCGCCGUAA